UACGUAGGGUGCGAGCGUUAAUCGGAAUUACUGGGCGUAAAGCGUGCGCAGGCGGUUUUGUAAGUCAGGUGUGAAAUCCCCGGGCUUAACCUGGGAACUGCGUUUGAAACUACAAGGCUAGAGUGUGGCAGAGGGGGGUGGAAUUCCACGCGUAGCAGUGAAAUGCGUAGAGAUGUGGAGGAACACCGAUGGCGAAGGCAGCCCCCUGGGUUAACACUGACGCUCAGGCACGAAAGCGUGGGGAGCAAACAGG
rnacentral:rRNA from 1 species